rnacentral:lncRNA from 1 species
UAAAUUCCAUAACUUUGCCAAAUAAAACCCCCCACUGACUUGUCUAUUCGGUAUUUUGGCCAUCCUAUUCUUGCUGCAGGCAUGCCUUUCACAAAGCUAGGGUUUCUGUUUCAGAUCCUUUUCGGUUCCCAAGCACAUGAAGCAACAAGUACCAAAUUGGGGCAAUUCUUGAAAAGUCCAAGCCCGGCUCUAUAUAUAUAAUUAGC